rnacentral:rRNA from 1 species
GAUUGAACGCUGGCGGCAUGCCUUACACAUGCAAGUCGAACGGCAGCAUGAUCUAGCUUGCUAGAUUGAUGGCGAGUGGCGAACGGGUGAGUAAUACAUCGGAACGUGCCCUGUAGUGGGGGAUAACUAGUCGAAAGAUUAGCUAAUACCGCAUACGACCUGAGGGUGAAAGUGGGGGACCGCAAGGCCUCAUGCUAUAGGAGCGGCCGAUGUCUGAUUAGCUAGUUGGUGAGGUAAAGGCUCACCAAGGCGACGAUCAGUAGCUGGUCUGAGAGGACGAUCAGCCACACUGGGACUGAGACACGGCCCAGACUCCUACGGGAGGCAGCAGUGGGGAAUUUUGGACAAUGGGGGCAACCCUGAUCCAGCAAUGCCGCGUGUGUGAAGAAGGCCUUCGGGUUGUAAAGCACUUUUGUCCGGAAAGAAAUCGCACUUACUAAUAUUAGGUGUGGAUGACGGUACCGGAAGAAUAAGGACCGGCUAACUACGUGCCAGCAGCCGCGGUAAUACGUAGGGUCCAAGCGUUAAUCGGAAUUACUGGGCGUAAAGCGUGCGCAGGCGGUUGUGCAAGACCGAUGUGAAAUCCCCGGGCUUAACCUGGGAAUUGCAUUGGUGACUGCACGGCUAGAGUGUGUCAGAGGGGGGUAGAAUUCCACGUGUAGCAGUGAAAUGCGUAGAGAUGUGGAGGAAUACCGAUGGCGAAGGCAGCCCCCUGGGAUAACACUGACGCUCAUGCACGAAAGCGUGGGGGAGCAAACAGGAUUAGAUACCCUGGUAGUCCACGCCCUAAACGAUGUCAACUAGUUGUUGGGGAUUCAUUUCCUUAGUAACGUAGCUAACGCGUGAAGUUGACCGCCUGGGGAGUACGGUCGCAAGAUUAAAACUCAAAGGAAUUGACGGGGACCCGCACAAGCGGUGGAUGAUGUGGAUUAAUUCGAUGCAACGCGAAAAACCUUACCUACCCUUGACAUGCCACUAACGAAGCAGAGAUGCAUUAGGUGCUCGAAAGAGAAAGUGGACACAGGUGCUGCAUGGCUGUCGUCAGCUCGUGUCGUGAGAUGUUGGGUUAAGUCCCGCAACGAGCGCAACCCUUGUCUCUAGUUGCUACGAAAGGGCACUCUAGAGAGACUGCCGGUGACAAACCGGAGGAAGGUGGGGAUGACGUCAAGUCCUCAUGGCCCUUAUGGGUAGGGCUUCACACGUCAUACAAUGGUGCAUACAGAGGGUUGCCAAGCCGCGAGGUGGAGCUAAUCCCAGAAAAUGCAUCGUAGUCCGGAUCGUAGUCUGCAACUCGACUACGUGAAGCUGGAAUCGCUAGUAAUCGCGGAUCAGCAUGCCGCGGUGAAUACGUUCCCGGGUCUUGUACUCACCGCC